UACGGAGGGGGCUAGCGUUUGUUCGGAAUUACUGGGCGUAAAGCGCGCGUAGGCGGCUUUGUAAGUUAGAGGUGAAAGCCCGGAGCUCAACUCCGGAACUGCCUUUAAGACUGCAUCGCUAGAAUUGUGGAGAGGUAAGUGGAAUUCCGAGUGUAGAGGUGAAAUUUCGUAGAUAUUCGGAAGAAACACCAGUGGCGAAGGCGACUUACUGGACACAUAUUGACGCUGAGGUGCGAAAGCGUGGGGAGCAAACAGG
rnacentral:rRNA from 1 species